UCUUAGCAGAAAGUUGAAAAAUGUUGCGUUUACUUCACACAAGAGCAGCCAUUUCCCCCUUUUGCCAUGGGAACAUUUAUAAAGAGAUG